ensembl:lncRNA
GUACGAUGAUAGUGUGUGUAUCUGUACAGAUGACUGUGUGUGACUGUACAGACUGUGUAUGAUUGUGUGACUGUACAGUCGUGUGUGUGACUGUAUGAUGAUAGUGUGUGUGUGUGUGUAACUGUACGAUGAUAGUGUGUGUAUCUGUACAGAUGACUGUGUGUGACUGUACAGACUGUGUGUGUGUGUGACUAUACAGACGUGUGUGUGACUGUAUGAUGAUAGUGUGUGUGUGUGUAACUGUACGAUGACAGUGUGUGUAUCUGUACAGAUGACUGUGUGUGACUGUACAGACUGUGUAUGAUUGUGUGACUGUACAGACGUGUGUGUGACUGUACAGACGUGUGUGUGUGUGACUGUACAGACGUGUGUGUGUGACUGUACAGACGUGUGUGUGUGACUGUACAGACGUGUGUGUGUGUGUGUGUGUGACUGUACAGAUAAUAGUAUGUGUGUGUGACUGUACAGACAGUGUGUGUGUGUGUGUGUGACUGUACAGACAAUAGUGUGUGUGUGUGUGGCUGUACAGAUAAUAGUAUGUGUGUGUGACUGUACAGACAGUGUGUGUGUGUGUGUGUGAGACUGUACAGACAAUAGUGUGUG